CUACGGGGCGCAGCAGUGAGGAAUAUUGCACAAUGGGGGGAACCCUGAUGCAGCAACGCCGCGUGGAGGAUGACGCAUUUCGGUGUGUAAACUCCUUUUACAAACCAAGAAAAUGACGGUAGCAUAUGAAUAAGCACCGGCUAACUCCGUGCCAGCAGCCGCGGUAAUACGGAGGGUGCAAGCGUUACUCGGAAUCACUGGGCGUAAAGGACGCGUAGGCGGGUUGGAAAGUCAGGUGUGAAAUCCUACAGCUUAACUGUAGAACUGCACUUGAAACUUCUAAUCUAGAGUAUGGGAGGGGGAGAUGGAAUUAGUGGUGUAGGGGUAAAAUCCGUAGAUAUCACUAGGAAUACCUAAAGCGAAGGCGAUCUCCUGGAACAUUACUGACGCUAAGGCGUGAAAGCGUGGGGAGCAAACAGGAUUAGAUACCCCGGUAGUC
rnacentral:rRNA from 1 species